UGUUGUUUCAAACGUGCAUUCCGCCUUUAUGAUCUUAGAAUGACCCCGAUAAUAUCAGAUCUGCCAGAGGAACCAUAACCAACAAAAAGCUGGAAUAUCCCACCAGGAAUUGGCAUCCAGCUGGAUAGGUAUUUUCGCGGAGACAGCGUGAAAACCAGCGCGGCCAGCAACCUGUUUUCUCAGCUCAGCUGUAUGCUGAGUGCAUGUUGGAUGACAUUUGGACUAAUGAUUUUGCAAUAAUCCUGUAGGCGAGCGAACGGGAAGAGAAAUUCCGAGGUGAAACCAGUUUCACACCCAGAAACGCAG
rnacentral:sRNA from 1 species